rnacentral:rRNA from 1 species
CAGUCGCCGCGGUAAUACGAAGGGUGCAAGCGUUACUCGGAAUUACUGGGCGUAAAGCGUGCGUAGGCGGUUUGUUAAGUCUGUUGUGAAAUCCCCGGGCUCAACCUGGGAAUGGCAAUGGAUACUGGCAGGCUAGAGUGUGGUAGAGGAUAGUGGAAUUUCCGGUGUAGCAGUGAAAUGCGUAGAGAUCGGAAGGAACAUCAGUGGCGAAGGCGGCCAUCUGGGACAACACUGACGCUGAGGCACGAAAGCGUGGGGAGCAAACAGGAUUAGAUACCCCAGUAGUCCCUGUCUCUUAUAC